rnacentral:rRNA from 1 species
GUGGGGAAUUUUGGACAAUGGGCGCAAGCCUGAUCCAGCAAUGCCGCGUGCAGGAAGAAGGCCUUCGGGUUGUAAACUGCUUUUGUACGGAACGAAACGGUCCUGGUUAAUACCUGGGGCUAAUGACGGUACCGUAAGAAUAAGCACCGGCUAACUACGUGCCAGCAGCCGCGGUAAUACGUAGGGUGCGAGCGUUAAUCGGAAUUACUGGGCGUAAGGCGUGCGCAGGCGGUGCUGUAAGACAGGCGUGAAAUCCCCGGGCUCAACCUGGGAAUUGCGCUUGUGACUGCAGUGCUGGAGUACGGCAGAGGGGGAUGGAAUUCCGCGUGUAGCAGUGAAAUGCGUAGAUAUGCGGAGGAACACCGAUGGCGAAGGCAGUCCCCUGGGCCUGUACUGACGCUCAUGCACGAAAGCGUGGGGAGCAAACAGGAUUAGAUACCCGUGUAGUCC